rnacentral:rRNA from 1 species
AUGGAGAUGGAGGCCAGCCGCGUCGGUUGGAUCCCAUCCCGUCCACCCCCCUUUCUCAGCGGGGCGUGGCACUCCAGGGACCUCGUGGCUGCGGUGGCCCUUGAAGAUGGCGAGGACAAGUAUGAGUGUGUGUUGAAGGCCAAUGGCAAUCUGGAAAAGCAAGUUCAGUCCUUGGAGGAGAAGUACACCAGCGCGACACGGGCGAAUGGCAAGCAGGAGGAGGAGGUUCUGUUCCUCAAGGAGAAGUAUGAGGCUGUGCUUGAGAGGAACACCAGGCUGGAGCAGCAGGUGGCUGCUCUGUCCACUUCUUUCCUGUCUCUCAAGGCGGUAGCCAGCACCGGCAACUCCGGCGUAGGCGCGCGGCUUGCAGCAGCAGUAUGUGGCGAUCGUUCCUGGCUCGAUCUCAGCCCGUACUCUCCCAGCUCGGGCGACCUUCUGGAUGCAGCGCUGCCGCCGGCUGCCGCUCCCGGGGGCGCACAUCCACGUGCAUACGCCUCGGGCGCCGUUGAGAACGACGCUGCCAACUCACUGCUUUCGUCGAGGCGGCAUCUGUACGUGGUACUUGAUGAGAUGAAGACGGGGCAUGGUAUCUACAGGCUGGACGUCGAUGACCUCGACGGCGGCGACGCGGACGCGGUCACCGGCAUGUACACCGCAGGGCGGGCGUCCGAGCAAACGAUGGCGCCGCCGCCGUGUCGGCUCCCCGAGCCGCUCCUCCGGCUGGGCAACUCGUCGGUCGGUUCAACGGCAAACUUCGCAGCCGUCGGCAGCAAGAUCGUGGUCACAGGGAGAACACAUCGUGGGUAUGGUGACGUAAUAAUCACCUUGGUCUACGACACCAAGAUGGCGAGGCUGGACAUUGAGCAGCCUCCGCCGGCCAGUUUCAAGUCGUACAGUUGGCGCAAGCACGACUACCGGCACUCCGUUGCCGUGAGGAACAAGCUGUACAUGUUUGACCAAGGCUGGAUUCGGCCGCACUAUCUCUGCGAGCAGCAGGGUAUGAAGUUCGGCCAGGGCGGACACUUCACCGAAGAAGAAGACGAGACCAUGUUAGAUAUGAGAGGGCAGACUAUGGAGUGGAUCUGGAAGAAAGGCCCCUCGUUCCCCGGCCAAGAAGAGCUGUGCUUCGUCCAGCCAGUCCAGUCGCACGCGGUGCAUCCUGACGGCCGCACCAUAUUCGUCUCCUGCUUUGGUGGUAGCAAUAACGACUCCAAGCCCAAGGCCCCCUUCACCUUCUCCCUGGACACCGAGCACGGGGGCGACCUGGACACCGAGAACCAGCAGGGCGUGUCGACGCUCCGAAGAGAAUGGAGCAUGCCGUUUCAUGGCCGCGCGUACUACGACCGACAUCUAGACGCGUGGGUUGGUAUCCGAAAGGUCUCGGGAAGACCCUACCUCUGCUCUUGUGACGUCCCAAACCUCACUGAUGAUCAUGGAUACCCGCCAACCAAGCCACUGCCGGCACCGGAGUGGAGGACGUGCAAGGAGGAGCUCACUUUCCUCGCCGGUGCAUCGGGCCAUGCACUCGUCCACACUGGGCGUGGCCGGUUCUGCCUCGUCGAGGCAAAACCGGUGGUGCCGCAUGUGGGAGGCGAGCCUAAUCAGUGCAACAGGUGCACCAUGUACCACGGUAAUGAGCACCUGCUCCAUGUCACCAUGUUCUGUACUAAGCAUGGCAAGGAUGGCGAGCUCAUGAUCGCGCCGUGCCGACCCGGCCGCUCCUACCUUGUGCCCAAUUACUGUCAGGAUGCAGCUGAAAAUCCCCCUAUUGCAUUCUGGAUGUGA